AAAUGAAUUGACGGGGGCCCGCACAAGCGGUGGAGCAUGUGGUUUAAUUCGAUGCAACGCGAAGAACCUUACCAGGUCUUGACAUCCAAAGAAUUCUUAGGAAACUAGGAAGUGCCUUUUAGGAGCUUUGAGACAGGUGGUGCAUGGUUGUCGUCAGCUCGUGUCGUGAGAUGUUGGGUUAAGUCCCGCAACGAGCGCAACCCUUGCUAUUAGUUGCUAACAGUUUAAGCUGAGCACUCUAAUGGGACUGCCCGUGACAAGCGGGAGGAAGGUGGGGAUGACGUCAAAUCAUCAUGCCCUUUAUGAUCUGGGCUACACACGUGCUACAAUGGGUGGUACAGAGAGCAGCAAAGUCGCGAGAUGGAGCGAAUCUCAGAAAGCCAUUCUCAGUUCGGAUUGGAGUCUGCAACUCGACUCCAUGAAGUCGGAAUCGCUAGUAAUCGCGUAUCAGAAUGUCGCGGUGAAUGCGUUCCCGGGCCUUGUACACACCGCCCGU
rnacentral:rRNA from 1 species